rnacentral:misc_RNA from 1 species
AUUUGGCGCUGCACUCUCCUACGUAAAUAUCGGGAAAAUGUCAAUCCUUUUUUUUGUUUUAUUUGCAGAUUUUUAUUUUACUAUAAUUCUAUAUCAAAUGUCUUCCUCAAGAAAUAAACGUAGAAAAGUUGCCAUUGCAGUUAGUAAUUUCUUGAAUAUCACAAAUGAAUAUCAAGAUGAUAAUGUCCAUUUGGAGAAAUCCAAAAACUUAAACGACCAUUCUGAUUGUUCUGAUUUUGAACCUGUUUCAGAUACUUCACUGCAUGAAGAAUGUAAUGGAGAUGAAUCUCCAUUACAUUCUUCAUGCAAUGAAGUAUCUACCAGCAGUGAUUCUGGUGGCGAAAAUCCAAGUGAAUUUGAGUUGCAAAUUAAGUUAUGUGAUUAUGCGAUUGAAAACAAUAUACCUUAUGCAACAAUGGACAAAUUGUUAUGUAUUUUAAAACCUUAUCAUACUCAAUUACCAAAGUGUUCAAAAACAUUAUUAAAUUCAAAACCUGUAACAAUUAGAAUUGUGACUAAUGGUGAAUUUUUAUAUAUUGGUGUUGAACCUUUUCUUCAAACAUUGAGUGUGUCUAACCCAUCGAUUAUCUGUUUGCAAUUUAAUAUUGAUGGUGUUCCAAUCUAUCACAAUUCUGAAAUAUCAUUUUGGCCAAUUCUGGUAAAAAAAGUUAACGAUUCAUUGUCACCAAAAGUUGUUGCUAUUUUUAGUGGAAGGAAAAAACCAAAUUUACAAGAGUUUUUUUCCCAAUUUAUUACUGAGAUAAAUCAUCUUAAAAGCAAUGGUGUUACAAUUAACUCACACUUGUGCAAUAUUCAUAUAACUAAUAUUGUAUGUGAUGCCCCUGCACGUGCAUUUAUUAAGUGCAUAAAGUAUCAUUCAGGAUAUUCCAGCUGUGACAAGUGCACUGUAGAGAGUGAAUGGCUAAACAAGGUUGUAUUUUUAGAAACAGAUGCACCCUUGAGAACAUUAGAAAGUUUUGUUUCUAGAGAAGAUGAUAGUCAUCAUAUUGGUGUGACACCUUUAUUAGGAAUUCCUAUUCAUCCAAUUAAUAGUUUUCCAAAUGACUAUAUGCAUUCUGUCUGUCUGGGAGUAGUACGAAAACUUCUAAAUUUUUGGUCUUCUGGACCAUUCAGUGUUAAGCUAUCUUCGCAAUCACUAAAAACAAUAUCAGCUCGAUUAAUUCAUGUUUCAUUGUUCUUUCCAUCAGAUUUUAACAGAAGACCUCGUUCAUUGGAGAGUAUGAAUAAGUGGAAGGCAACAGAAUUCCGAUCAUUUCUCCUUUAUUCAGGGCCUAUUGUUUUGUGUGAUAUUCUUAGUAAACCAGUUUAUGAACAUUUUCUUAUUUUACAUAGUUCCAUAUUUCUAUUAUGUAGGUCACAAGAGCAUGAAGUUAUUAAAUAUUGUGGUGAGUUGCUGAAAAUAUUUGUUACAAAGGCUGUUGCCUUGUAUGGCAAAUCAUUUAUGUCAUAUAAUGUGCAUUCUCUUAUACAUCUGCAUAAUGAUUGUUUACAAUUUGGACCGCUUGGCAAUUUUUGUGCUUUCCCCUUUGAAAAUGCUCUUGGUCAUUUAAAACGAAGAAUUCGAAGUGGAUAUUUGCCGCUUCAGCAAGUAGCUUCUAGUCUUUCUGAUAACAAAUCUGAACAUUCUAGGAAAGUACACACUGAUGGAGUUUCCCUUCAACAUUGUAGUGGGCCUUUACCAAAUCAGGGCCAUUUUUUGCAAUAUAAAGUGUGCCAUUACAAAAAUCAAAGGUUUUCAAGCGGUUUGCAGGAUAGUUCAGUAAUGGUAGGACAAAAGUGCUAUCAAAUAGUUAACAUCUUAGCAGAAGACUUAAAAAAUCCAUUAUUCUUAGCCAGGUGUUAUACUGUGCAAACAAACUUUUAUGACGUUCCACUUGCAAGUUCGAAACUAUCUAUUUUUAAAGUUAGUUGUCUUAGUGACACUUUGCAUACAAUUCCGUUUUCUGAUAUUGUUAUUAAAUGUUGUUGUCUCCCAUAUUCUUCUUCCUUUGUUGUAAUCCCAUUAUCAGAGAUUUGAGUUUUUAUUAUAUUUUAGAGUUCUAUAUAUUUUUUCAAAUAAGAUAAUAAAUUUAUAUUAUACAGUAUUUGUAAUUUGUUCCAUGUCUAUUUAUGGUAUACAACAUGUAUUUCAUUUUGUUGUAUCUAUUUAUACAUUUCUUACAAUUGCUUUAAUUUAUUUGGGCAGCUUUUUAAAUAUAUAGUGUAAAAUUAUGAACUACAUUUACACAUUUUAUUAUUUCUUUGUUUUGAAGUUUAAAUUUGCAGAAUGUUAGUUCUUGAAGUAUCUUUGAACGUUGUUUAGCAGGAUGUAAUUGUAUUACUCUUAUAUGGUAAAUAAUAGGUAAAUAAUAAUAGGUCUUAUAUGGUAAUUAACUAUUUUUUUUUUCUUUAUUUAAAUUAAGCAAAUUUUUUUUUUUAAUAUUUUGUAUUUGAAAUUUUUUUUAUAACAGAUGUCUUAUUCAGUAGUUAUUUUUAAUAUUGAUAAUGAAGUGGCAACAGUGUCCAGUAAAUGGUUCAAAGAUUCAGGAUGCGUUUUGUGGCCCAACUGUAGAGUAGGGAAGAAAUUGCAAAACAUGUUACUAAACCAUGAAGAGCCAGGUGCUGACUGGAUUUCUUAUGAAGUACGAGUGUUGUCCAGUAACAUCUGUAGGUAUUUUUACUGAGAGUAAGCAUUUCAACUGACUAAAGGAGACAUGUUUUCUUAAUUUUUUAAUUAUGAAACAGUUUAAUUUAAUAUCUUUAUAAUUUUAUUUUUGUAGUAACUCUCAAAUCAGCAAGGGCAAAGGAGCGACUAGCUGAGGAAAAUUCUGAUCUUAGUUCAGCUGAAGAUGGUAGCAGAAUUAUAUAUGCCCCUAGCAGAUUUAACAGUCAAGAAUAUUGUCAACCACCAUCCAAAAUCAGCAAAUUAACUUCAAAUAGCCAUACCACUUCCUAUUUAAACAACCCCUUGAUUCCUCAUGCACCAUCACUAGUUUCUAAUCCAUCUUUAGUUCAAACUUCAGCAUCGUUUUCUAGUAAGCUAAAUGUUUAAUUUUGUUCAACAAGAACAGGCUUGUUGACUGAUUAAUCAUUUAAUGAUCUUAAUAACCAUUUUUUGUAUCUGCAUAUAGCAUUUUUUAUAUCUGCAUAUAAGAAUAUGUUAGAUUUGUAUAACUUUUAUGUAGCUAGUCAAUACUGAAAAAAAAAAUUUUUUUAGAUGAUGAUCAUAGCAUAUUUAAUACGCAAGAGUUUUUACGACCCUUAGCCAAAAAUAGAAAAGUUAAUUCUAACUGCCAAACCACUUCAUCUAAUAACUAUCCUUCAUUUCCAGAUAAAUCAGCACUAGUUCCUGAUUUUUCAAUUUCAAACUCUGUUCAAACUCCAACACCAAUCUCUACUAAUGUUCCUUGUGCAUAUCAUUGUACGCAUGUUGUUACGUGGUUUGAGAAAUUAUUUAAAGAAAUACAUCAAAUGCGUGCAGAACAGACUGUGAUAAAUCAUCGUUUAGAUCAACAAUGUCAAAAUGAGCAUCAGCAUGUAGAUAGCAAUUUUUUGAAUUGUCUUCCACUUGAGAGUGAAGUUGAUUUUGAACGAUUCGGUAUAGAGAUAGAUAGUGACAAUGGAAAACGAACUUCUUUGAUACGUUAUUUGCGGAAGAGGUCAGACUCAAAUGUCAACAAGACCAU